UAUAUAUAUUUAAUAUAGUUCUCUCUUGCCUUUAUUCUGAAUUUUCUUUAGAACAUGAACAACUACUGAAGGAGAAGGGCAAAAUACAAGAAGAAUGUGUUAGUCUACAGGAUGAGAUAGACAAAAUACAACAAGAUUAUGAUGAAUGCAACAAGAGAAUAAUGCAAGAACAUGAUCAACAUUUACAGUCACUUGGUGAGUACCCAAAAUGAUACAUUUGUUUUAUAUUUGCUUUAUUAAAUUAUUAAUAAUAUAGUUUUUCAAUAUGUUUAUCAUAAGAUGAGCAACAUAUUUAAGUUCCUGUUGGUUUGACUGGUCUUCAGGUGGUGACUAAUAUUAUGUAUAUGAUUAUUUAUCUUAAGAUUAAUUAUGUUAUGGACCCUUUAUAACUUCAUAAUUUCUUUCUGUUUUUAGCGAACACACAAUCAAAAAAAGAAGAUAAAAAGUGACGUUUACGACCAGGUGGAGGUGAAGGAG
rnacentral:lncRNA from 1 species